rnacentral:rRNA from 1 species
UACGGAGGGAGCUAGCGUUGUUCGGAAUUACUGGGCGUAAAGCGCGCGUAGGCGGCUUUGUAAGUUAGAGGUGAAAGCCCGGAGCUCAACUCCGGAACUGCCUUUAAAACUGCAUCGCUUGAAUCCAGGAGAGGUGAGUGGAAUUCCGAGUGUAGAGGUGAAAUUCGUAGAUAUUCGGAAGAACACCAGUGGCGAAGGCGACUCACUGGACACGUAUUGACGCUGAGGUGCGAAAGCGUGGGGAGCAACAGG